rnacentral:rRNA from 1 species
CAGAGGGAUAGCCCAGAGUAAAUUUGGAUUAAUACCUCAUAGUAUGUGAGAAUCGCAUGGUUUCACAUUAAAGUUCCAACGGUAAAAGAUGAGCAUGCGUCCCAUUAGCUAGAUGGUAAGGUGACGGCUUACCAUAGCUACGAUGGGUAGGGGUCCUGAGAGGGAGAUCCCCCACACUGGUACUGAGACACGGACCAGACUCCUACGGGAGGCAGCAGUGAGGAAUAUUGGACAAUGGGCGCAAGCCUGAUCCAGCCAUGCCGCGUGCAGGAUGACGGUCCUAUGGAUUGUAAACUGCUUUUGUACAGGAAGAAACACUCCCUCGUGAGGGAGCUUGACGGUACUGUAAGAAUAAGGAUCGGCUAACUCCGUG